GAUGAAGAACGUAGCGAAAUGCGAUAAGUAAUGUGAAUUGCAGAAUUCAGUGAAUCAUCGAAUCUUUGAACGCACCUUGCGCCCUUUGGCUAUUCCGAAGGGCAUGCCUGUUUGAGUAUCGUGAACACCUCAACUCUCAUGGUUCGCCAUGAUGAGCUUGGACUUUGGGGGUUUUGCUGGCCUUUGGUCGGCUCCUCUCAAACGGAUCAGCUUUCCAGUGUUUGGUGGCGUCACGGGUGUGAUAACUAUCUACGCCUGUGGUUUUCUGCCAGAUAACCUUCAGCGAUGGAGGUUCGCUGGGGCUCAUAAAUGUCUCUCUUCAGUGGAGACAGCUUUUUGGACGUUUGAUCUCAAAUCAGGUAGGACUACCCGCUGAACUUAAGCAUAUCAAUAAGCGGAGGA
rnacentral:misc_RNA from 1 species